rnacentral:sRNA from 1 species
GCCAGGUGUGGUGGUGCAUGCCUGUAAUCCCAGAGGCUUGGGAGGCUGAGGUAGGAGGAUUGCAAAUUCAAAACCAGCCUCAG